AUUGAACGCUGGCGGCAUGCUUUACACAUGCAAGUCGAACGGAAACAGGCCUCUGGGUGCUGGCGCUUGGCGAACGGGUGAGUGAUUCACCGGAGCGUGCCCAGCGGUGGGGGAUAACGCAGCUACAGCUGUGCUAAUACCGCACGUGAUCUGAGCAUGAGAUCGAGGGACCAGGCAGCAAUGUUUGGCCUCGCGCCUUUGGAGCCGCCGCUGUCCGAUUAGUUGGUUGGUGGGUUAAAGACCUACCAAGCCGACGAUCUGUAGCUGGUCUGAGAGGACGACCAGCCACACUGGGACUGAGACACGGCCAAGACGCCUACGGGAGGCAGCAGUGGGGAAUUGGGGACAAUGGGCGGAAGCAUGAUCCAGCAAUGCCGCGUGCGGGAAGAAGGCCUUCGGGUUGGAAAGCGCUUUUGUACGGAACGAAAAGGCUCUGGCUAAUACCUGGGGCUGAUGACGGUAACGUAAGAAGAAGCACCGGCUAACUACGUG
rnacentral:rRNA from 1 species